UUCAGCUUAACCAAAAGCCAAUUUCCCCUUUCUUCACUUCAUGUUGGAGCCGAGAGAGAGAAGAGAGUUGAGAAAAAAAAAACUUCAUCCUCUCCUUCUUAUCAUCAGUCAAGAGUUAAGGCUGAUUUAGCCAUGGUAAUUCCACAAAAUCUCCCUAUUUCGUCAAGCCUAAACCAUGAGUGAGAAAGAGACAAGAAAGCCAUAUUGGGAGGUGAAGAAAACGGAGGAAACCUGGACCGAAGGAGAAGGAAGUGGACAGCCUGCAUUUUUUUUUCCAGCUUGCUUGAACCAUGGAGGAAUCAAGAAGGUGAGCCAACUUCUAGCUUGAUUUGUGGCAGAAAAAUAAGGGCUUGUCUGAUCAAGGGGACAAUCCAGGAGGAAACUUUUGACGCUAUUUUUGCUUGAACUAGUGAGUGUUCCAACUGCAAGUUCCAUGCUACUUGUUGCACAAAUAUGACCUGUUACUUGAAUUGACUUGUUAUUACAUAGGGUACGAGGAUGACAAGGACAAGAAUAGUGCUAGUUGUAAUAGGAAAUCUUAAUCUUGUAUUUGGACGACACUGUAUUAUGGUAUUAGUUUACAAGUUCUUAUCUUUUGGUCUGUAUUUUGGUUUGUAUAUUCGGAUGAUUGGUAGCAUGUAGAGGUUAUAUUGAAGAGUUUUAGCGUUAUUGAUUUGCUAUCCAAAGAAUAAGGAAUUCAAACAUUGUAGUCCUUAUUUUAAGUAAUUGCAAUCCUAUUUAUACUUAGAGAAGUGAUUGAACUA